GGGGAAUAUUGGGCAAUGGACGCAAGUCUGACCCAGCAACGCCGCGUGAAGGAAGAAGGCUUUCGGGUUGUAAACUUCUUUUAAGGGGGAAGAGUAGAAGACGGUACCCCUUGAAUAAGCCACGGCUAACUACGUGCCAGCAGCCGCGGUAAUACGUAGGUGGCAAGCGUUGUCCGGAUUUACUGGGUGUAAAGGGCGUGUAGCCGGGAAGGUAAGUCAGAUGUGAAAGCCCGGGGCUCAACCCCGGGACUGCAUUUGAAACUGUCGGGCUAGAGUGCAGGAGAGGUAAGUGGAAUUCCUAGUGUAGCGGUGAAAUGCGUAGAUAUUAGGAGGAACACCAGUAGCGAAGGCGGCUUUCUGGACUGUAACUGACACUGAGGCACGAAAGCAUGGGGAGCAAACA
rnacentral:rRNA from 1 species